UCUAGGUCUUAAAUUUAAGACAAGUCCGGAGUCAUGCUUAACUUUAAGAAUUACGCUAAGACUAAGUUAAGCAACAGUUUAUGGUUUCUCGUCUUCGUUAUUGGAACAUGUCUUCCUGCUACACGAUAAAAUGGCGACCUGCAGUGUUGGUAGCGGUGGCAGCGUGUGGUGGCGGAGGUUGAGAUCCUUUCCAUGUAUUUGCACGUUUGGUAGGCCGACAGUGGGAGCCAGUGGAGCUGAUACACUACUUGCUAAGGAAUGCAGAGGCUGAGUGGUCAGCACAUUGUGAUGGAGAAACUUAAGGCUCCAAGUUCAAGUCCAACCAGAAGCUGGUCAUUUAUCUUUUGUCAGCAAAUGCCAAAGAUCAAUCUUAUCCUGCCAUCAGCUCUGCUUCAGUUAUGAGUGCAUCCGGGGGAACCUGCCUGCACCACCACGUCAGUACCUCUACAAAAGAAGCUUACAGGCCAUCCAUUCCAGCCUCCACAAACAAUAUUGUCACUUACUUUUACAAUUGUUGUUUAGCAAAUCAAGAUGGGUCAUAUCAUCUGCCUUAUGACUGGAAAUGGUGUAAUUUGAUGAUUUCUGUGGUGGUAAUGAAAGCCAAACCUUUAAAGGUAUCCUCUACUAGAUGGCCAUCCUCCUUGGUGAUCAGUUAACACAUCAUCCAUCAGCACAAGACUGUCAAGAUGAAUUCAAGUUUCCUCUGUUGAGUCAGAGCACCUGAAAUACUUCAAAAAGGAAUAACUAAUUUCCAGUGAUUAUUGGGAAAUAAAGAGUUGCUGUGAUCCUGGUACCAUGGCUCACCUCUGCCACUACAGCUUCAUUGGACAGGAGCUUCUGCUGUUGUUUUGCCUGCGAUCCACAAUUCUUGGUCUUGUUGUUGUAGGGCUGCAAUGAUCCUAUGGGGAUCAUAUGAGCCCUACAAUUCCUGCAGUACCCCAAUGGCAGCUAGCAUCUCACUGUGGUUGCUGCAAUAGUCUGUUCACUGGAAUUUGAAUCAAGCAAGCUACAGGAUCCUACAUAAGAUUAUGGGUUUCCUUGCUCAAGUCCAGUAAAGAAAAUGGAUUUUAGCUUCAUGCUGGCCAUGUUGCUGGAAUCCCUCCCUGCUCGAGUUCCAGCCUCAGAUACCUUUCAGGACUUUCAGAAUUAUGAUUCAACACUUUAUAUGACAGGAGGAAAAUCAACUGAGGCAAACCAACUAAGGCAAGUAUGGAACUUAAAAAAAAUUUCAAACUGGUAGUUAGCUACUAAACUUACUGUUAAAUACCUCUAACUCUAAAACUUACUACAUGCUAUUUACCAAAACUAUUACCUACUAUCAACCUUUACCCAAUCUAACUAUACUAAAUGAUGACAUCUUUGUAAGUAGGGAAAAUCAAAUUCCUUGGAGAAACGUUUGACAAAAAUCUAACUUUUAAACCACUUAUCCAACCUGUCUAAGAUUAUCAAGAACUAUUCCACUCCUCCACAAAAUAAAACAUCUUGCCCCAAAUAAUGUUCUUAAAUGUUUGUAUUACACCCACAUAUAUCCUCAUCUUAUCUAUUGUAAUCCUAUUUGUCCCAAACUUAUCCUUGUCAUCUGUACACUCAAUGUUCUACAUAAAAAAAUUAUCAGAAUAAUAACCAACAGUGAUUACAGUGAACAUACACCUCCACUAUUUAAACAACUGAAUAUCUUAAACCCUGCUGACUUAAACAAAACUCAGUAUUGCAUCUUACAAGUAUCAAAGAAUAAAUUCUAGUACACUGUAACUACAAGACACAACCUGUGCACAAUUACCUAACCAGGAACCAGUACUCACUAAAUAUACCCAGACCCAAUUUAACAUUAUACAAACAUUCACUAAUGUAUCUAGGACAUAAAAUAACGAAUAAUAUACCAUGUCAUACCAAACACUCACCCAGCCUAUUGUCUUUUAAAGACAAAUUUAAGAGACAAGUUGUCCUCUUACUAGUCACACAUUGCAAUCUACAGAUAAUAAAUACUGAUACAUUUCUACACUACUAUCAUAGAUAUUAUAAUAUUAUUAUAUUACAUUACUAGAGUUACCAUCAUUGUGCUGUAUUAUUAGUUUGAUUUAUAUUAAUAAUAAUAGUUCCUAUUAGCUUGUAUUAUCUCUUCUACUAUUUAUAAAAUAUGUUAUUAGCUUGUAUUACCUCUUCUGCUAUUUUAUAAAAUAUGUUAUUCACAAAAUUAUAAUUUUUUCUUGCUAUUCCCCAUAAAGCUCCUGCUUGUAAAGGGCUGUUUGACCUACUAAAAAUUGUAUGUAAUGAUAUAUGUAUACAUGUCAAGCAUAAUAAAGUGUUUAAAGUGUGGGGAUGAGCAGAUGGUGGCUGGUUAUGUGUUCAAAGUGAUGUAGACCCUGAAGGUAAAAACUACAUUUCUACAUCACCCACAUUGUUGCCAGCAUCUCAAGUUCAAUCAUGGCAUAUCUCGUCCUUGUGUCUGAUAAGAAGCAUGAGCCACACUAAACCAGGCAUAAGGGGCCUCCACCGUGGUCCUGCAAGAGGGCCAUAGCCAAUGCCAUUAUUACAUUGUGUGUGUCUAGAGAAUGGUGGGCAGGUGGUGGGCAGGUGUGAGUCAAACAUUGUCAGUUGUGGUGGACUGGCCAAUGCCACCUCUACCUGAUGAAAGGCUGCAUCAUGAUCAUCUGUCCACAUAAACAUGUGUCAUGGGCUCAUCACGGAUCAAAGUGGCUAUACAGCUGCAGAGAUCUCAGGCAAGAAUUUGUCCUGCUGGUUAACAAGGCACAUGAAAAAUCUGUGGUCAGUAAUGUUGGGUGGGGUUGCAAAGUUGGGAAUUUCUCGGAUUUCGUCAGGGUCAGCACUGGUGCCCUCAGCUGACAACAUGAAGCUGCAGAACUUGAACACAGGUUCAAUGAGAACAAACUUAUCUGCAUUAAGUGUGAUACUGUUCUGGUAAGAAUGGUGUUGGUGCAGUAAAGAUGUGGUGGUAGGUAGGUCUUGGUUGUAAACAAGAACAUCAUCCACCACUUUUAAUCUCUAAACAGUGGUGGUCAUCUAUUUAGGCACAACCUGGCAGCUCACACACAGUGAUGAUCAUCAAGGCAUGAUUUUUUGAACCUAGAGUUUUGAAUUCAGACAUUUUCCUCUUCUCUAUCCUAAUUUUCAGUUCAAAGCUGGAUGUUGCGUCUGUGCGCAACAACUUAACCUGCUCUCAUGCCAACACUCUUGAAUCUUUUGAGUUUUCCACCAUCUGGCUAUAACUAUAGUCACUCAAACUGUGCUGUUUACCUCUCACCUAACUCUCAAACUGUGCUGUAUACCUCUCACCUAACUCUAUCAGAAAUUUUUGAUUACUUAACUUACAAGGUAAAGCACAUUCUGACCCUCUUCUUUUUUGCAGAGAUCUCCAUUCUUGGAGACUUGAACAUUCACCACCAGCUUUGGCUUUACUCUCCCUUCACUGACCAUCCUGGUGAACUAGCCUUUAACUUUGCUAUCAAUCCUCCAUGACCUAGAGCAACUGGUGCAACAUCCUACUCAAAUUCCUGACCACCUCGGAGAUACACCCAACAUUCUUGACUUUUUCAUAACCUCUAAUACUUUUGCUUAUGUUGUUACCCUAUCUUCUCCAUUGGGCACCUCCAGUCACAAUCUCAUAUCUGUAUUUUGUCCUACUGCUCCAAUUUCUCCUCAGGAUCCCCCAAAGCAGAGGUGCCUCUGGCAUUUUGCCUCUGCUAGAUGGGGGUACCUGAGGAGGUAUUAUGCUGAUUUUCCUUGGAAUGACAGAAAACCAUGUCAAAAAACCAUCUGUGUGCUGAGCACAUAACACAGGUAAUAGUAUCUGGCAUUAAGGCGUACAUUCCUCACUCUCUCUUGACCUAAACCUUCCAAACCUUAGUUUAGCCUGCUCUUGUGCUAUACGUAAUAGAGGUGGCCCACAAAAGGUACUUGUGCCUUCCACCACCUGAAUCUCGUGCGCUUUAUAUUUCUGCCCAGAAUCAUGCCAAGUCUGUUCUCCAACUAGCUAAAAACUCUUUCAUUAAUGUAAAGUGUCAAAAUCUUUUAAGAUAUAACUCCCAUCAUGACUUUUGGCACCUGGACAAAAACAUCUCCAAUAACUUUGCUUCUUCAUCUUUUCCUCCUUUAUUUCAACCUGAUGGCAUCACUGCCAUCUCAUCUAUUUCAAAAGCUGAACUCUUCACUCAAACCUUUGCUAAAAACUCUACCUUGGAUGAUUCAGGGCUUGUUCCUCCCUUACCUCCAACCACUUACUACUUUAUGCUAUCUAUUAAAAUCACUCACAAUAAUUUUUUUUCCAUGCCCUCACUGGCCUUCAAAGGCUUAUAGACCUGAUGGGGUCCCUCCUAUUGUUCUCCAAAACUGCCUCUGUGUUUGCACCUUGCCUAAUCAAACUCUUUCAACUCUAUCAACAUCUACCAUUCCUUCUUGCUGGAAGUUUGCCUACAUUCAGCCUGCACCUAAAAAGAGUCACUAUUCUAAUCCCUCAAACUACCAUCCUACUGGUUUAAUUUCCUGCCUGCCUAAUUUUUUAAUCUAUCCUUAACAGGAAGAUUCUUAUACAUCUAUCACUUCAGAACCUUCUAUCUGAUCGCCAGUAUGGGUUGUGUCAAGGCUGCUCUACCGGUGAUCUUCUGGUUUUCCUUACGGAGUCUUGGUCAUCCUCUUUUAGAGAUGUUGUCUUAGACAUGUCAAAAGCUUUUGACAGUCUGGCACAAAGCUUUGAAUUCUAAACUACUCUCCUGUGGCUUCUAUCUUUCUCUGUAAUGUCAUUUCAAGUUUCGUUUCUGACCGUUCUAUUGCUGCUGUGGUUCUAUUGCUACUGUUCAUUUCCCAAAUCUAUUAACAGUGAUGUUCCUCAGGAUUGUGUCCUGUCACCCACUCUCUUCCUAUAUUAUUCAUCAGUGGAGAUAUCUCCUAAACCAAACUUGUCCUAUCCACUCCUACAGUCACAAUACUAGCCUGCACUUUUCCACAUCUUUUUGUUGAUGUCCAAUGCUUCAGGAAGUAAACAGUUCAUGCAGGGAAGUCACAGAACGCCUGACUUUUGAUCACUAAAAUUUCUGAUUGGGGUAAAGCAAACUUAGUAUUGUUCAAUGCCUCAAAAAACUCAAUUCCUCCAUAUAUCAACUCAACAGAACCUUCCAGACAACUAUCCACUAUUCUUCAAUGACACUCAACUGUCCCCCCUCUUGUACACUGAAUAUCCUUUGUCUGGCCUUUACUUAUAAUCUAACCUGGAAACUUCACAUCUCAUCUCUAGCUAAAACAGCUUCUAUGAAGUUAGGCUUUCUGAGUCAUCUCUGCCAGUUUUUCUGUACAGCGAACUCUGUACAGGGGCCUUAUCCAUCCAUGUAAUGAGUAUGCUUCACAUAUAUGAGAUGGUUCCACUCACUUUUUUUUAGACAGGGUGGAAUCAAAAGCUUUUCAUCUUAUCAACUCCUCUAAUUGACUGUCUUCAGCCUCUUUCUCAUUGCUGCAGUGUUGCAUCUCUUGCUAUCUCCUACUGCUAUUUUCAUGCAAACUGCUCUUGCAGUCUUCCUAACUGCAUGCCUUCCUUCCUCCCGUGGCCUUGCUGCAUGAGACAUUUUUCUCUCACCUCUACUCUGUCCACCUCUUUAAUGCAAGAGUUAACCAGUAUUCUCAAUCAUUCAUCCCUUUCUCUGGUAAACUCUGGAACUCCCUGCCUCCUUCUGUAUUUCCACUUUCCUAUGACUUGAACUCUUUCAAGAGGGAGGUUUCAGGACACUUAUCCUUAAAUUUUGGAUGAUUCUCUUAACAUCUCUUUUGGAACUGGCACCACAGUGGGAUUUUUUCCCUUCUUUGUUUCCCUUGGCCAGUAACCCUCUUACAUAAAAAAAAAAAUAAUAAAAUAAAUAAAUAAAUAAAUAAAAAGUCCCAAAGUUAUAUAUAAAAUAAAUAAAUAAAAAAAAUCAAGUUCCAAAGUAAUAUUAAAGUUAUAUUUGGGCCUAGUCAGACUUCAUGUAGAUUAUGCUAUGCAGUUAUAGUCCCCAUAUUAUACAGGAAGGACUUUUUUUUUUUUUUUUUUUUUUUU